AUCGACCAGAGCAAAGAACCAAAGGGACAAACCCUAACUUCAUGAACUUCUCAAAAUCAAAAGGGAAUUAAGAGCCCAAAUGGAUGCAUGAACUCAAAUUUCGUAUAAUCUGAGCUUGUUCAACGAUUGGCGUUAAGGAAGAAAGUUCGAGUCAAGUGAAGCAACAAGGGAAUCAAGACCGAGGUAAAUCUCAUGUCUAACUAUCAAGCUUUGCCCGGAUCGAACACACCUCAAGCCCGUCAAGCGUUCCGCAUUUUGUAAAAGUCAAUGUUUGCCAUUUUGUCACUAAUGUCUAUGUUUAGUAGUUAAACCUAGUUUCUAUUAUGUUUGUCUUUGGAAAACUUGUCGUAAGUACGUACAGAAACUUAAUGGUUUGUUUUUAA
rnacentral:lncRNA from 1 species